rnacentral:rRNA from 1 species
UGGGGAAUAUUGGACAAUGGGCGAAAGCCUGAUCCAGCAAUGCCGCGUGAGUGAUGAAGGCCUUAGGGUUGUAAAGCUCUUUUACCAGGGAUGAUAAUGACAGUACCUGGAGAAUAAGCUCCGGCUAACUCCGUGCCAGCAGCCGCGGUAAUACGGAGGGAGCUAGCGUUGUUCGGAAUUACUGGGCGUAAAGAGUACGUAGGCGGUGAUUCAAGUCAGAGGUGAAAGCCUGGAGCUCAACUCCAGAACUGCCUUUGAAACUAGGUCGCUAGAAUCACGGAGAGGUGAGUGGAAUUCCGAGUGUAGAGGUGAAAUUCGUAGAUAUUCGGAAGAACACCAGUGGCGAAGGCGGCUCACUGGACGUGUAUUGACGCUGAGGUACGAAAGCGUGGGGAGCAAACAGGAUUAGAUACCCAAGUAGUCCCUGAGCGGGCUGGCAAGGCGCAU